AGAAUCAACGCUGGCGGCGUGCCCAACACAUGCAAGUCGAACGAGAAAGGGGAGCAAUCCCUGAGUAAAGUGGCGACCGGGUGAGUAACACGUGACUAACCUACCCUCGAGUGUGGAAUAACAUCGGGAAACCGAUGCUAAUACCGCAUAACAUCGGCGCUUUUAAGAGAUGCCGAUCAAAGGAGCAAUCCGCUUGAGGAGGGGGUCGCGGCUGAUUAGCUAGUUGGCGGGGUAACGGCCCACCAAGGCGAAGAUCGGUA
rnacentral:rRNA from 1 species